GACCUCAUCAAGGAAUUCCAUCGAUCCAAUCCCAGUCAGCCAUCCCCAGCUAGUGGUCCGUCCAGAGCCGGACUUUGAGGGGGGGGCGGUGUUAUGAUUCUGUCUCUGUCUGUCUGCUCUUGACCCAGUUCUUGCUCCUGUCUGCCUCUGCCCCUCCCAUCCUGUUCCUCAGUCUGCUCAUUGCCUCUGCCCCUCCCGUCACAGAAAACUCAAUCAGCUCAUUUAACUCACCUGUUCCUGCCAGUAUAAAACUCAGCUCCAGCCUCCAGUCCCUUGCCAGAUGAUCAUCAGCCUCGCCUAUGAUCUUCCAGCAUUCUUGUCCCUUGUCCUGCUCUUGCCUCGUGUCCCCGACCCUGCUCAUGUCURCUGGUUUAACGUCUCCUGCCUCAGUCCUUGUCGGAUCCUGCCUGUCAUCUGCUUUCACGGUAACGACUUUGUUUAUGUCUCUUGGAUUUUUGUCUCUCGCCUUUCCCCUGAACGGUACCUCGCCACAUCGGAUUACCUGGACCACGGAACACAUCUCUGGACCUACGACUCAGCCUGCCCCAUCUAACCCGGUAACAAUCUCUGACCACCCGUGUAUGACUCRYGAUUUGUUUUUGACCUUGAGAAAUUCCCGCAGCAGCUUAACCUCCACUGACAACACCACCUGGAACCAAAAAGCUGUGACAGUUGUUUCCACACGGACCCAGUCCCUCCUGAGAAGAUUUGCUGCUUCCGAACUUCCAUCCUCAACCUCCAGACACACCUUCUAACAAUAAAACUGUUAAACCGU